rnacentral:rRNA from 1 species
UACGAAGGGGGCUAGCGUUGCUCGGAAUCACUGGGCGUAAAGGGUGCGUAGGCGGGUUUUUAAGUCAGGGGUGAAAUCCUGGAGCUCAACUCCAGAACUGCCUUUGAUACUGAAGAUCUCGAGUCCGGGAGAGGUGAGUGGAACUGCGAGUGUAGAGGUGAAAUUCGUAGAUAUUCGCAAGAACACCAGUGGCGAAGGCGGCUCACUGACCCGGUACUGACGCUGAGGCACGAAAGCGUGGGGAGCAAACAGG